rnacentral:rRNA from 1 species
CCUACGGGGGGCAGCAGUGAGGAAUAUUGGUCAAUGGGCGGAAGCCUGAACCAGCCAAGUAGCGUGCAGGAUGACGGCCCUACGGGUUGUAAACUGCUUUUAUACGGGAAUAACGCGCCUUACGUGUAGGGCUUUGCAUGUACCGUAUGAAUAAGGACCGGCUAAUUCCGUGCCAGCAGCCGCGGUAAUACGGAAGGUCCGGGCGUUAUCCGGAUUUAUUGGGUUUAAAGGGAGCGUAGGCCGCAUGUCAAGCGUGCUGUGAAAUGUUCGGGCUCAACCCGGGCAUUGCAGCGCGAACUGGAGUGCUUGAGUGCGCGGAAGGCAGGCGGAAUUCGUGGUGUAGCGGUGAAAUGCUUAGAUAUGACGAAGAACCCCGAUUGCGAAGGCAGCUGGCUGCAGCGGAACUGACGCUGAUGCUCGAAAGCGCGGGUAUCGAACAGGAUUAGAUACCCGAGUAGUC